AUGAUUUUUUGACCUUGUAAAUAAAGGUAGCAUGAUUUAAGUAAAUUUUACAAACAAAUCAUAUUUAUUCUUUUUACUUAAAAAUGUCACGUUUAAUUCAAUAUGGUACUUGAGGCUUCUUUUUAAUUUAUUGUGCUUAAAUACAUAAAUAAAUUCAACUGGAACUGCCCAAGUAAUAUUUACUAGUGUUUUGUCAUCUAAUGAACUAAUGCAAAAAAAUGACGAACGCAAGUAAAACUUACUCCAAGAAGCCAGGCAAUCCAAGCGCAUGCGCAUUGAUUUCUUGGUACAGAAUCAGAUUCAGAAGUGGCGCGAAGAAGAAAGCAACGGGAACUUUUCUUGAAGACUGAUGUGAUUUUUACACGAUUGCACUCACUAUUCAAGCUCCAUGCAAGCAAAUUGAAGAUAAGAGAGAUGCUGUGAUUCGCUGCCUUCUUUCCUACCUUGGAGAGUCAUCUGAAGAACUCAUUGAAGUCUACCAGGAUGUAAGCAGAGACAUGAUUAAAGAUAACAUCACCAAUCAUGUUAUGAAGAUCAUUGUACUGGGCAACACUGCAGGCCAACAUCGCUGAUGUCAUCGUCGUCAUUGAGGGAACUGAGGUGCUGUUGGGAUGUAAGAAUCUCACAAAUGCGUGCCUUCUGCUCAUGGGCUUCAUUUACGCCCUGAACUUAAGCUAUCCACCAAAGCUGAGAAACACAUUUAAAGUCUUUCAAAA